UCAAAAUCUGAAUAACUUUAGUUGCUUGCCUUUUUUUCUUUUUCCUUUUUUUGGUAUAAAAAGCCGAUAUCAUUAUACAUGAAAGCAAUAAAGCUCUUUCUUCCUUGUUAUCACUACACAACAUUUAUGCUUAGCUUGUUAAUAUCUCAUAGUGAAUGACAUGUCAUGCAACACCAAUUAAUAUAUGCAUAAAUGAUCCAAGCUGAGGUUAAAUGGAUGAUACCAAGAAUCUGGACAGAAGUAAUCUAGGGAAAAGUACUAGUUUUAUACAAUUCGACUCCCAGUAAAGUACUGUAUAAUAGAUUGUGCAAUAGUUGCUCAUUUGGGCACUAAUACAUCCUUAUUGCUGGAAAUCGUCACUCCUCAUAGUUCCACUAGCUAGCGUAGUGCAGGGGCUGCUACGAAUCUAUAUCUAUAUAUAUCUAUAAUUGAGGGUACUAAGGCCGGUGAGGUGGCACUCUCAGUCAGCAGCAAUUCUAUUUUCUAGGCUUCAGGUAUUAGUUGCAAGUUAAAACUAAAAUUACAGAAACAAAACGCCCACACCGCUUCUUCCGCUUCUUCUCAAAAUAUACCCAUUCUCAAAAUACCCUAAACGUUUCACAUCCAGUUUAUAUGCCACCAUUUCUCUACUCCCUUUUCCCCUAAUUUCUCUCCUUCUAUAUCUUCCAAUUUGUCUGUACUUCUCUAUCUUUUCAAUUGCCCUCUCUACCUACUUCGCUCUGACGUUUUAUUUGGAACAUACAAUAUCUCUAAUUCCCUGCGAGUGUCUCCAUUCUUUAGCCACGACAUACUUACUUUACGGACCAUGAAAUGUUCGUCAACCCAAAAAAAACUUCAACCCGCAAUCACAAACUACUUUGGCUCAACAAGCUAAUGUCGAAAAUAUAUUUGCUGCUCCAACAAUCUGUCCGCUCAACUGCUAUGGGUGCGGACGCACAAGGAAUACGAAGACAAAACAAAUAGGUCCGUUCAACAAAGAUAGGUGUUCACGCACACCGAAUACGAAUACAAAACACCGAUACGAGAUUGAGGAUAAGGAGUGGUUUGGAUAGCUGGUCGUGGCAGGGAUAGAAGAACUUGGAGCAAAAAGAAUAAGAAAAGAUAUGGCAUCUGGUCUGCUAUUUCUAAUGAAACCAGAAUGGCUGCCUCGCUGUUGCGCUUGCACUUCCAUGACUGUUUAGCUAAUGUAUAAUACACGUACUCUUUUAUUUUUUGCCCAUCAUAUGCACUAACAUAAGUACAUAGCUAAUGGCAAUCUGAUUGCUUACUUCUUACAAAAAUGUUUAUGUUGUGUAGGGAUGCGAGGGUCUGUACUACUCGAUGAUACUAGUACAUUCACAGGAGAAAAGAACGCAUCUCCUAAUCGAAAUUUAGCCAAAGGAUUUGAAGUCAUUGAUGCAAUAAAAGCUAACGUGGAGAAAGCUUGCCCGUCUACAGUUUCAUGUGCUGAUAUACUGACUCUAGCAGCUAGAGAAGAUAUCUAUCUCGUAAAAAAUUUCAAAGGGCUUUCAGGUUCAUGAGGCAAAUGCACAGAUAAAUACUCUUAGGGAUGCUAUUUAGGGACUAGCUAGUACUUAUUUUUGUCCUGAAAUUUUAAACUAAAAAUUUUAACUUCAAGAUAACUCAGGACAUUUUUGUCCUGGACAGCUGAACUGAAAUCCUAAAAUUCAGGACACACUGGCUAAUUCUUAAAUAACAGCCCUUUAGAGUGGCUACCAAGUGUCAUUUCUACGUA